UAGUUAUAAACUUUGAUAUAUCCGCCAGAAUACUACGAGCAACAGCUUAAAACUCAAAGGACUUGGCGGUGCUCUACACCCCCCUAGAGGAGCCUGUUCUAUAAUCGAUAAUCCACGAUAAACCUCACCACCCAUUGCCAAUACAGCUUAUAUACCACCGUCCAGCCCACCCUUUAAAGGGCCAACAGUAGGCAUAAUCAUAGACAUAAAAACGUCAGGUCAAGGUGUAGCAUAUGGGGUGGGAAGAAAUGGGCUACAUUUUCUAAUUUAGAAAAUUACGGAAAAGCUCAUGAAAUAAAGCUAUAAAGGAGGAUUUAGCAGUAAAAAGAAAAAAGAGUGUUCUUUUUAAACCG
rnacentral:rRNA from 1 species